CCCCACUACCCUUUCCAGCCUCUGGUAACCAUCCUCUCUAUCUCCAUGAGUUCCAAUAAACAGGUUAUAAAAUUGAUUAAAAUUGCAGUACAUCAACUCUACACAUAUACCUGCUCUGUUACUGGAGACUAAUGUAAUCCAAAUAUGUGGAAAAGUCAAAUAGUUCUCAGCAAAAUUAAUUUAGAUGGAUGGAUCAGAUAACAACUUGGAACUGAACCUAAAAGGAUCAUUCCUACUAAAAGGCAAUCAACUGAUCAAGAUGGCACAGUUCUAAGGGCCAGCCUAUACUUUUUUUUGCCUCAUCCAUUAUUCCAAGUCACUAACAUGAUGCUUGAUAAUGAAUCUAAGAGGAAUAAAAGAAAAGUACAACUGGCUUUACAAGCUUUUGGGGAUUUGACAAGGUUAUUUGAGGAGUUUGGUUCAAAAGAAGUUGGAGUGUUGUCAGUAUCUAUGCAAAACAGAUUCUAAGUAAAAUAAAGAAUAAGUUUAACACAAAACACAAAGACUGAGACUAGAUAAGGUAAAGGUGCAAAGAAACUGCGAAUAAUGAUAACUGUAAAAUGAAGGUUUGGUGAAAAUGAAAAAGUAGCCAAGGUAGAAAAAAGAGACAGAAGAAGAUAGGAAAGAGGAAGUUCAGAGUAAGAAAUCUAGUAUAUAAAAUAGUUCAGUAAUGAUUGGAUUAAGGCAUGGUCUUGAAUGGGGAAGUAGAGAUGGACAAUUGUGUUCAGGCAGACAUGUCAAGUGCAGGAGCAAAGUAUUAUCUUGGAUCUUAUCUAAGUUUACUCUGUCUAGUGAAAUGGGAUUAUACAGAAUGAUCUGAAACACAAAAAUUAAAAAUGCUAUAAGUGAAUAUUAUCAUUUUCAGAUAAAAGAUUCCAAUUGUAGAGGAAAAGGAAUAAAAUGAAAUAGCAAAUGAUGAAGCUAGAGAGAGAGGUGAGCAGGAAUAUUUAACAGGAAUUUAAAGAAAAUUAACUUUAAAAGAACACUUAAUGAGAAAAAAAGAAAAAGAAAAGGAAACCAUGCAAUAAAAGGUCAAGUUACUUACUUAACAAAGAAAAGCGUAUGCAAAGGUAAGCUCCAAGCAAUUUAGUACAACAGUGAAAUUCCAGAAGAAAAAAGCAGGCAACAUUAUCAGAAAACCAAAAGAAGAAGCUGCAUUCCUUUGCUUUUCAUCUUACCACGUUUUGUCCAUUUUCCUUACAUUUAUCUGGCUCCCUCCCCUCAGUAUCCUCUGUAAAUCUUUACCUCUUCUACCCAAAUUGAAAUGCUACCAGUUCCUCCACCUUUGAUUCUGGGUCUUUUUUACUGUUUUCUCAUCUAUUCCCAAGGCUGAAAAACUCUGAGAUUUUAUUGCAAGCCCAAAACUCUCUUCUGAACUGCAGGCUUCUAUAGCCUAUAUUAUAGGCUUUAAUAUAAAAGUCACCUGAAACUCAACCAAACUUCAACUUAUAAUUUACUGUUAAAGUCUGUCCCCUUUAAUACUGUUUCAGUAAAUGAUAUCACUAUCCAGUCAACUGCUCUAGCUAGCAACUAAACAGUAAUCUCCCCUUCUCAAAUCCAAAUAAACAGAGUCCUGUUAUUUUUACUUCUCAAACAUUUCUAGAAUCUAUAUAGUUUGCUCCAUCUGCCACAAUCUGGGCCCAGCCAGCAUCAUCUCAUUAGAUAACUACAACAAUCUUUUAACUGAUCUUCUCACAUUAAU